rnacentral:rRNA from 1 species
UACGUAGGGUGCGAGCGUUGUCCGGAAUUACUGGGCGUAAAGAGCUCGUAGGCGGCUUGUCGCGUUGUUCGUGAAAAUUUACCGCUCAACGGUGAACUUGCGGGCGAUACGGGCAGGCUAGAGUACUGCAGGGGAGACUGGAAUUCCUGGUGUAGCGGUGAAAUGCGCAGAUAUCAGGAGGAACACCGGUGGCGAAGGCGGGUCUCUGGGCAGUAACUGACGCUGAGGCAUGAAAGCGUGGGUAGCAAACAGG